rnacentral:rRNA from 1 species
CACACGAAGUCGGAGUUGCUAGUAAUCCCGAAUCAGCAUGUCGGGGUGAAUGCGUUCCCGGGUCUUGUACACACCGCCCGUCACGCCAUGGGAGUCGGAAGUGCCCAAAGUCGGUGACCUAACCGCAAGGAAGGAGCCGCCUAAGGUAAUGCCGAUGACUGGGGUGAAGUCGUAACAAGGUACC